rnacentral:snoRNA from 1 species
GGGAUGUGAUGAGUGGUCAAUGCUUACACUAAAUAUGCGAGAGGGUGUCUGCCCCAAGCUUGGUUACGAGAAUUGGGCACUCCCAUUUUCACCAAUUUGAUCCC